AUUGAACGCUGGCGGCAGGCCUAACACAUGCAAGUCGAGCGAGCGGCGGACGGGUGAGUAAUGUAUGGGGACUGCCCGAUAGAGGGGGCUAACUACUGGAACCGGUAGCUAAUCCCGCCUACUAUCGGCUCACCCAUCUGGGAUUAGCUAGUAGGUGAGGUAAUGGCUCACCUAGGCGACGAUCCCUAGCUGGUCUGAGAGGAUGAUCAGCCACAAUGGGACUGAGACACGGCCCAGAGUCCGACGGAGGCAGCAGUGGGGAAUAUUGGACAAGGGGCGCAAGCCUGAUGCAGCCAUGCCGCGUGUAUGAAGAAGGCACUAGGGUUGUAAAGUACUUUCAGUCGGGAGGCGUUACCGACAGAAGAAGCACCGGCUAACUCCGUGCCAGCAGCCGCGGUAAUUC
rnacentral:rRNA from 1 species